rnacentral:rRNA from 1 species
CAUCUAAGGAUGGCAGCAGGCGCGCAAAUUACCCAAUCCCGACACGGGGAGGUAGUGACAAGAAAUAGCAGCCCAGGACAAUUAGUUCUGUGAUUGCAAUGAGCGGAAAGCAAAACUGUUUGCGAGUAUCUAUUGGAGGGCAAGUCUGGUGCCAGCAGCCGCGGUAAUUCCAGCUCCAAUAGCGUAUAUUAAAGUUGCUGCAGUUAAAGCGCCCGUAGUCGGAUAUCGUCCUCUUGAAUAGGAAGCAGAUGCCCUUCGGGCGUUCUAGCGCCUAUUCUUCUGGACUAGAGUGAAGUAAGUUUACUUGCCUCACUCUGUUACCUUGAGCAAAUUGGAGUGCUCCAACCAGGCUUUAGCUUGUACAGCUCAGCAUGGAAUAACGAGAUAGGACUUCGGUUCUUCUUGUUGGUGUCAUGAAUCGAUAGUAAUGGUUGAUAAGGACAUAGGGGGGCAUUUGUACUUGCUGGAGAGAGGUGAAAUUCUAAGACCCUGCAAAGACAAACAAGUGCGAAAGCAUUUGCCCAGUGUGUGCCUGUUGAUCAAGGACGAAAGUUGGGGGAUCGAAGACGUUUAGGUAUCGUCGUAGUCCCAACUAUAAACUAUGCCGACUGAGGAUCGGUGGCCGUACUAUUACGACUCCUUCGGCACUCCAAGAGAAAUCUAA